rnacentral:rRNA from 1 species
GACGAACGCUGGCGGCGUGCUUAACACAUGCAAGUCGAACGGAAAGGCCCUGCUUUUGCGGGGUGCUCGAGUGCCGAAGGGGUGAGUAACACGUGAGUAACCUGUCCUUGACUUUGGGAUAACUUUAGGAAAAUGGGGCUAAUAUCGGAUAGGAGCUCCUGCACCGUGGGGUGGGUUGGAAAGUUACGGCUGUUGGGGAUGGGUUGGCGGCUUAUCAGCUUGUUGGUGGGGUAGUGGAUGACCAAGGCUAUGACGGGUAGCCGGCCUGAGAGGUGGACCGGGCACCAGGGGACUACGAGACGCAGCAGAAUCCAACGGGAGGCAGCAGUCGGGAGUUUGACGCAAUGGGCGGAAGCCUGAUGCAGCAACGCCGCGUGCGUGAUGACGGCCUUCGGGGUGUAAACCGCUUUCGCCUGAGACGAGGCGUGAGUGACGGUAAUUAGUAAAGAAGCACCGGCUAACUACGUG